UAAUACCUGAUAAGCCCACGGGGUCUUCGGACCUUGCGGGAAAAGGGGGGGACCUUCGGGCCUUCUGUCGUCGGAUGAGUCCGCGUACCAUUAGCUAGUUGGUGGGGUAAAGGCCUACCAAGGCGACGAUGGUUAGCUGGUCUGAGAGGAUGAUCAGCCACACUGGAACUGAGACACGGUCCAGACUCCUACGGGAGGCAGCAGUGGGGAAUUUUGCGCAAUGGGGGAAACCCUGACGCAGCAACGCCGCGUGAGUGAUGAAGGCCUUCGGGUCGUAAAGCUCUGUCAGAGGGAAAGAAGUGUGGGGAGGCUAAUACCCUUUUCACUUGACGGUACCCUCAAAGGAAGCACCGGCUAACUCCGUGCCAGCAGCCGCGGUAAUACGGGUGGUGCAAGCGUUGUUCGGAUUUAUUGGGCGUAAAGCGCGUGUAGGCGGUUUUAUAAGUCUGAUGCGAAAGCCCCGGGCUCAACCUGGGAAGUGCAUUGGAUACUGUAAGACUUGAAUACGGGAGAGGGCAGUGGAAUUCCUGGUGUAGGAGUGAAAUCCGUAGAUAUCAGGAGGAACACCGGUGGCGAAGGCGGCUGCCUGGACCGAUAUUGACGCUGAGACGCGAAAGCGUGGGUAGCAAACAGGAUUAGAUACCCUGGUAGUCCACGCCGUAAACGAUGAGUACUAGGUGUCGCGGGUA
rnacentral:rRNA from 1 species